UUUUCUAUGUUUUUCUGGUCUAUAAAAAUACAGUUGAGUUUUGAAUAUGAUCUCGUUAUCUAGGGAUCUUGCUAAAUUUGAAUUCUAAUUUGCCUGUCACUUCUUUUUCCUUGAGUUUUUUAUGUAGUCAGUCAAAUCAAUUGUAAAUGACACAUUUGUUUCCUCCUUUCCAAUUGUUACGUGCUUAGAAAAGAGUUUUCCUUGCCUUCUUUUGCUGGCUAAGCUCCUCCAGUUGAUGUUGAAUAGAAGCUGUGAGCACAGAUGUCUUUGUUAUGUUCUGAUUUUUAAAGGGGACUGUUUUUAGACAUUUUUGCAUUGUGUGUGAAGUUUGCUUGGGUCUUUUUGCUCAACUUAUUAGGUUGGGCAAGUUUCUUUGUAUUCUUAAUUUGCUAAGACUUAACAAAUGUUUUUUUAUCAAAGAUACUUUUCCAGUUUUUUUAUUGUGAAGAAAUAUACAUGACAUAAGAAACAUAAGAUUUUCCAUCUUAACCAUUCUUUUUUUUUUUUUUUUGGAAGGGGUCUGUCACUCUGCCACCCAGGAUGGAGUACAGUGGGGCAAUCUCUGCUCAUUGCAACCCCUGCCUCCUGGGCUCAAGUGAUUCUUGUGCCUCAGCCACCCAAGUAGCUGGGAUUACAGGCACGUGCUACCACGCCAGGCUAAUUUUUGCAUUUCUAGUAGAGACAGGGUUUCACCAUGUUGGCCAGGCUGGUCUCAAACUCCUGGCCUCAAGUGAUCAGCUGCUUCAGCCUCUCAGUGCUGGCGUUGCAGGUGUUAACCACCAUGUUUGGCCGUUACCAUUUUUAGGUGUGUAGUUCAGAGGUAUUAGGUACAUCCAUACCAUUGUGCAACCGUCACCACCAUCUGUCUCCAGAUCUCUUCCAUUUGGCAAAACAGAAGCUCUAUGCCCACUAAACACUAAUUCCUCAUUCUACCCCACCCCCUGGCAACAGCAUUCCAACUUCCUGCCUCUAUGAGUGGGACUAGUGCCUCAUACAAGGGAAUCCUAUGGUAUUCGUCGUUCUGGGAUUGGUUUCUUUCAUUUAGCAUAAGCUCCUCAAGACUUGCUUAUGUUGUAGCACAUGUCAGAAAUGCCUUCCUUUGCAAAGGUGAGAUUCCAUACAGAUUCUCUGUGUGCACCAAAUUUCACUUACUCUCUCAUCCGUCGGUGGACACUUGGAUUUCUUCCAUGUUUUAGCUUUUGUGAAUGGGUGUACGCGUACUUUUUGAGAGUCUUCUUUCACUUCUUUUGACUACAUGAUCUGAAGUCAGGUUGCUGCAUCAUGUGGUAGUUCUAUGCUUAAUCUUCUGAGGAGCCACCUUAUUGCUUUCCACGGCGGCUGCCCUGUUACAUUCCCAUCAACCGUGUACAAGGUUUCGAUUGCUCUAUGUCCUCAGCAACACAUGUUAUUUUCGCCUUUCUUUUGGUGGUAGCCAUCCCAAUAUAUGUGAGGUGGUAUCUCCUUAGGGUUGUGAUUUGUAUUUCCCUAAUAGUGACCGUGAGCAUCUUGCCCUCUGCUUACUGGCCAUUUUAAUGUCUUCUUGAGAUAACAUCGAUUAAAGUUAUUUGCCCGUUUUAAAAUUGGGUUGUUUUUAUCGCUGAGCUUUAGGCGUUCUCUCUGUGUUCUGGAUAACAAUGCCUUAGCAGAUAGAUCUAAUCUGAAAUAAUUUCUCCCAUUCUGGGGAUUGCCUUCCUACUUUGUUGAUAGAGUCUUUUAAUGCACAAAAUCUCAAAAUUGUUACGAAUUAAAGUCCAAUUUGUUGAUUUUUUUCCUUUUGUUGCCUGUGCAGUUAUUUGUGGAUCCUGGAUAUUAGCCCCUUGUCAGAUGGAAGAUUGCAAAACUUUUCUCCCAUUCUGGUUGCUGGCUCACUCUACUGAUAGUUUCUUUUGCUGUGCAGAAGCGCUGAAAUUUAAUUAGAUCCCAUUCAUCUAUUUUGACUUUUGUUGCCAUUGCUUUCGGUGUUUUAGUCAUGAAGCCCUUGCCUGUGCCUAUGCCUAUGCCCUGAAUGGUAUUGCCUAGGUUUUCCUCUAGAGAUUUUAUGGUGUUAGACCGCAUGUUUAAAUCUUUAAUCAAUCUGGAGUUGAUUUUUGUAUAAUGUGUAAAGAAAAAAUUCAGUUUCAGCUUUUUUCAUAUGGCUAACCUGUUUUCCCAGCACCAUUUAUAAAAUAGGGAAUCCUUUCCACAUUGCUUGUUUUUGUCAGGUUUGUUAAAGAUCAGAUGGUUGCAGUUGUGUGGCAUUAUUUCUGAGGUCUUUGUUCUGUUCCGUUGGUCUAUAUUUCUGUUUUGGUACCAGUACCGUGCUGUUUUAAUUAUUGUAGCCUUGUAAUAUAGUUUGAAGUCAGGUAGCGUGGUGCCUCCAGCCUUGUUCUUUUUGAUUAGGAUUGUCUUGGCUAUACAAGCUCUUUUUUGGUUCUAUAUGAAGUUUAAGGUGUUUUUUUCCAAUUUUGUGAAGCAAGUCAUUGGUAGCUUGAUGUGGAUAGCAUUGAAUCUUUAAAUUACUUUGAGCAGUAUGGCCAUUUUCAUACUGAUUCUUGCUAACCAUGAGCAUGGAAUGUUUUUCCAUCUGUUUGUGUCUUCUCUUAUUUCCUUGAGCAGUGGUUUGUAGUUCUCCUUGAAGGGGUCCUUCACAUCCCUUGUUAAUUAUAUUCCUAGGUAUUUUAUUCUCUUUGUAGCAAUUGUGAUUGUGAAUGGGAACUCACUCAUGAUUUAGUUCUCUGUUUGUCUAUUAUUGGUGUAUAGAAAUGCUUGCAAUUUUUGUGCAGUGAUUUUGUAUUCUGAGACUUUGCUGAAGUUGCUUAUCAGCUGAAGGAGAUUUAGGGCUGAGAUGAUGGGGUUUUCUAAAUAUACCAUCAUGUCAUCUGUGAGCAGGGUCUUUUUAGGUUCUCUAUAUCUUUGUUGAUAUUUCCAUUUGGUUCAUAAAUUGUUUUCUUCACUUCCUCCACAUUUUCCUGCAGUUCUUCGAGCAUCUUUAGGACAGUAGUUUUAAAGUAUUUGUUCAGUAUGUCUACCAUCAGUUCUUUUUCAAGGACAGCUUUUGCUGAUUAUUUUUCCUUUGAAUGGGAAUAACUUCUUAUUUUUUUGUAUGCCUUGUAAUUUUUUUGUUGAAAACUGGAACUUUAAAUAUAAUAAUAUGAUAACUCUGGAAAUCAGUUAUUUCCCCUUCCCUAGGACUUGCUGUUUUUUUGUUAUUCUUGUUCUUUUUGAUUGUUAUAAGGCAUCUCUGUACCAAGGAUCAACCUGAAGUGUAAACUCAAGAUCUCCUCAGGUCUUUUCUGAGUCUCUGCCUUUCCCUGGGUAUGUUCAGGACUGUCUGUACCUCCCCUUAUAUGUGGCUGCUUUUAAAUGCCUUAGUCUUCAAUGCCUAGCUCCUAAGUGGGGAAGAAGAAUAAAACCAAGGGUAGGGUGGGAAGGGUGCCAGCCCUUUAAAUGCCGUGGAAGUCACUUUGGUCAAAUGGGAGGGGCUUACAACAAGGUGGUGAGGGCUCGGGAGUGCCACAGUGGCCACUACCUGCGCCUGCAUCUCUGUGAUCAGGAGGAACAAUCAGAGCACUCAUCUCAGAUAUUUGGAGGACAGGAUCUUUUUGUCCACUCUGGCAUCCACUAGUUGUGUGCUCCAGGAACAUGUGCACAGCUGCCUGUGCUGCUGGGGGCUGGGACUGGUAGUUUGUACUAAGGGUAGCUAAGAGCUAGAAUUGACUGAAGCAAUGUAAAUGUAAAUGUAAUUGCAAUUGAGUGUCCAAAGUUAAUGUAACUGCAAUUGAAUGUCCAAAUCUUUCCUUUGAAGAUACAGGCCUUCAAUAGACCCCAGAGUUCCAAAAUAGCAACAUCAGAGAGAUUCUGCCAGUGCAACUGUCAUCUUGGCUGAGGGACAGAUUUCUGGUGCUUCCUAUUCUAUUCUCCUAUCUUCCCAGAACCUUUGCUGAGAAUUUUUAACUCAUGAGGUAUUGAUUUUUAUCAGAUGCCUUUUUUUUGCAUCUGUUGAUAAUGUUGGCUUUUUCUUUUAUCCAUUAUGCGGUAAACUACAGCCAACAAUUUUAAACCAACGUUGCAUUUCUGAGAAAACCCUGCUUUGCCAUGCUAUCAGUUUUUGUUUUUGUUCUUUGUUUUUUUUUUUCUCAGACAGAGUCUCAUUCUGUCACCAGACUGGAGUGAAGUGCUGUGAUCUUGGUUCACUGCAACCUCUGCCUCCCAGGUUCAAACCGUUCUCCUUCCUCAGCCUCCUAAGUAACUGGGAUUACAGGCGUGUGCCACCACACCCAGCUAAUUUUGCAUUUUUAGUAGAGAUAGGGUUUCAUCAUGUUGGCCAGGAUGGUCUUGAUCUCCUGACCUAGUUAUCUACCCACGUUGGCCUCCCAAAGUGCUGGGAUUACAGGUGUGAGCCCCCGUGCCCGGUCACCAUGCUGUCACUUUUUAAGUACUGCAUUCAAAUUCCUAAAAUCUGAUUUCACGUUUGUAUUUUUGAGUGAGCUUGCGUUGGAAGUCAUGUAGGCUCGAUACCAGUGUUUUACCAUCCUGGUAAUGCAAGUGCUUACAUGCACUGGAGAAGCUGUGCAAUUGUCGAGGACUUUCACCUGAUAUGCCACCUGACUAGAAAGUGCAUGUGACACCAUCUGGGCCUGGAGCUUUUUAUGUGAAAAGAUGUUAACUUUUAAUUCAAUUUAAUUUUAACUGUUAUGAGAAAAUCUGAGCCAUCGUUCUUAGGCAAGCUUUUCAAAUGGACUGCAACAUACAUAUGGAAAAAUGUCCAGUUAAUGAGUUAGCGCUUCAGGAACCUCCACAGUGAGCACACUCAUAUGGUCGGCAUGCAGGUCGGUCCCAUUGUAGCCCCUCCUGUCUCCACCUGUGUGUGAGCGUUUUAUCAAAUGCUUCUCUGAACUUACUGAAAUGGUCAUGGGUUUUCUCCUUUACUAUGUUAAUGUGGUGAAAUACAAAUGAUAGAUUAACCUUGCAUUUCGGGAAUAAGCCCAACUUGAACAUUCGAUUACUCUUCAGAUAGACUGCUGAAUUUGAUUUGCUAAUAUUUUCUUUACUGUAUUUGCAUUUAUGCUCAUGAGAAAGAAUGACCUCUAAUUUUCCCUUCUCAAAAUGUCCUUUUCAGGUUUGGGAAGCAACGUUAUGAUGGCCCAAUGAAAUGAGUUGGUGCAUCUGUAUAUUUGUUUCUUUCAAUUGCAAGGAGUUGAGCACCCAGACUUCAUAGUGACUUAAAAAGCCAAAGAAUUAUUUCAUGUGACAAGUAGAGAGGGAGCUGGUGCCAGGGCUGAUUCAGUGGCUCAUUGCUGUCAUCCAGGGCCCAGGCUCUGUCCAUCUUUUCUAUCUUCCACUCUGGGUGUGUUGGCCUCUUGUCUUUGGGCUUGCUGCCUCAUGCUUGCAAAAUGGCUGCCUCAGCUCCAGGUUCUGUUUCCCACACUAUCUCCCCCCACUGUCAUGUUCAGAGACAAGAUCACAGGCAAGCAGCAAAUAGAUUGCUUGAGAAGAGAGGCGAUGGUGGAGAGAGAGAGAGAGAGAGAGAGAGAGAGAGUCAGAGAGAGAGACAGAGACAGAGAGAGACAGAGACAGAGAGAGAGAGAGACAGAGACAGAGACAGAGAGAGAGACAGAGACAGAGAGAGACAGAGAGACAGAGAGAGACAGAGACAGAGAGAGACAGAGAGAGAGAGACAGAGAGAGAAAGAUGCAUCUUGGCUUCUUUCUUUUUAUCACAGAGGAAACAUGAGUCCACAGAAGAUUUUCCUAAUGUCUCAUUGGCCAGUACUGGGCUGUAUGUCCACAUGUGAACCAAUCACUUCAAAAGGAAUUAGGUUCCUGAGACUGGUCUGAGCCAAUUUGUAAUGCACCCUCACCCCUUUGGGUUAGGCUGUAGUUGUGUGAACGCUAGUGAGGUUUGCUGGCCAGGAAAAGGAGAAAUGCCUGUUGCUACCUUUAUUCGUCACACUCAUGUCUUAGAAAUUUAGCAGGCUGGUAACUAGCAAGCACUGGUCCAUGUUUCAGGACCUGAUUUAUACCUGUGAACUGGGCUCCUCAAAAUAGCGAGGAACUUUUCCAGGAGUGGAGAUAGGUGAUGCUAUUUAAUUAUGUUAGUAAAGUAGAAGUGUGUAAAAACAACUGACCAAGGCCUGUGCCCCUAAGCUGAAGCAGGCUGAAAAACAAGAUGUCCCAUACCUCUUUUUUUUUUUUUCUUGAGACAGAGUUUUGCUCUUGUGGCUCAGUCUGGAGUGCAAUGGCACCAUCUUGGCUCACCCCAACCUCCACCUCCCGGGUUCAAGCAAUUCUCCUGCCUCAGCCUCCCAAGUAGCUGGGAUUAUAGGCAUGUGCCAUCAUGCCCGGCUAAUUUUGUAUUUAUAGUAGAGAUGGGGUUUCUCCAUGUUGGUCAGGCUGGUCUCCAUCACCUGACCUCAGGUGAUCUGCCCACCUUGGCCUCCCAAAGUGCUGGGAUUUCAGGUGUGAGCCACCAUGCCUGGCCGAUGUCAUGAGACUUGGAAUGAGCUUACAGCUGCUGUUAAAACUUCAAAAGGGUUAGCUUUAUUUUUCACACAUUUGUGAACAAGGCUUAUCUAGGAAACUGGAGACCACAAAUCAGCACAUUCCCAUGAAGGCGGCCGACACAGAAAGCCCAAUCACACUCAGAGCUGACAACCACAUCUCUUAAAGGAAGGCCUUGUGCCAUUUCCAGAGAUUUUGUCUUUUCUCGUCAUGAUGUUGGCUUUUAAUGGGCACCAGGAAACUUAAUGCACCGAUCCCAAGAAACAGAGAAGCAGAAAGCUUUAUCCAGUUAAAGCUAAUUUCAGGGGCUUUGGCUCUGAAAUAGAAUAGAGCAGAGUGUUCUGCCAGGGAACCAGACAACCUGUGUUUAAUUCCUAGCCUCAUCACAUGCAACUGAGAUGAUCUCAGGCACCCCUGCCCCUCAACCUCCUCAGCAGGGUGGGGGUAUGAUGCCAGGACUGCUUACCUCGCAGGAAGAAAUGACCACUGAACCUGUCAACUCUUGCUGUGUAACCAAGGGCGCUGAGGUCCAGCAGCCAGGCGGGCUGGCUGGGAGUCGCUGAUGGAGGUCGGGGGCUCUGCUCCCUCUGACUCCAGUGCUCCAGCAGGUGGGCCCGGAGUGUGCGUAUGGUCCUGGCAGAACCACGACAAGGCAAGUGGAAGCAUACAAGACCUCCAGGGUUUUGCUUGCGGUUGGUGCACUGUUAUUUCUGCCCUCUUCUAUUCUAUUGGCCAAACCUAGAGGUCAGGGGUAGGGAAAUGCCCCCUGCCUCUUAAGUGGGGCAACCACAAAGUGCAUGGCAAGGUCCUGGAUGUGCAAUCUUGCUACUGGAGUAAGGCGGUGCAGUGGAUUGAAUUAGUGUCCCGAUGACUACAGUACCACUCAGUGGACCCUGUGAACAGUUGCGUGGCGUGUUCUGCAGUUGAGAAGUGUCGGCAGAUGUCGCCGAGCUUUAGCUCUGAUUCAGGUGCUCUGUACUCCGGCCCCUGUGCUGCCUCCUCCUCACUUUAUCUGGAGGUGUUUGAGCCCAGUGGCCAUCACUGAGGAAUCAGGGUGUGGGGCUCGGGGAGUGGAGGUGGCUUUGUCUUGGCACCUGGCUUUGCUGCUUCCACUCUGUGUGGCUUAUGGAUUCCCAGUGUCAUGAAGGCUCAGUUUCCUCAGGCAUGGCCCGGGCAGCGGAACCCGUCCAGUUAAUGGUUGUUAUUGCUGCAGUUCUGUGAUACCUGUCCUGGUAGCUCCAGGGCCCGCUGUGGACACGAGUCCUGCAUGUGACAGUGACAAUUUGAUAUGCCAGACUGUAGUUGGUGAGGUCUGGGCCAGCCUGUCUUGUCCAGCACUGCACAGGGCCUUCAGAGUGACCCCCAAUUUCUGCCCCCCUGCAGGAACUCUCCUGAUGAAGAGCCCACAGUGGCUCUUUUCUAUCCUAUUCUCUCCAGUCUGAAUUUCUCAUCCGAUUUGAUGUCUGUGUAUACCCAGUGCUACUAAUGUCCAGAAGAAAAUGUGCACAUAAAGAAAUGAGGCACUAUUCCUCUUUAAGGAAUCAGUAAAUCAGAUAUAAUGCCUUCAGUAGAUUGAUAACAUAAUGAAGCUGACAGUUUGCAUAUGUACUUUGAAUGAUAAUGCGUACCACUUUUGUGAGGUCUAACAUAAAAUAGAGCUGGUGAAGAGUGGGUUAGAGAACCUGAGACCAGCUGCUGCCUUCCCUAGUGUGUCCCGUGUGCAGGCUUUGCUGCCCCAGGCAGGCGCAGGGUAGUUGCUGGGUCCCCAGGUCAUUGCUGUGUGAACGAGUCUUCAGCCUGGUGCUCAGCUAAGUUCUUAUACAUGGGGCUGUGGCCAGGAAAGGUGAAAACUGCCUGUUCCCUUAUCUGGCACAAAAGAAUUGGAAUUUUGGAGUUUCUGUUGUGUCUUGUGACUUACAGAUGUUAACACCACAAAAUGCUAACGUCUCAGCACCAAAGGCCAAGGGCAUGAGCUUCUUCAGUGCCUUGUGCCAGGUGGUGGCGACCACUAAGCUUUUGUCUCUUUUUAAACAGUUUUAUUGAGAUAUAAUUAAUCUACCAUACAAUUCACUCACUUAAAGUACACAGUUCAAUGGCUUUUGGUGUAUUAUAUUAUUAAUUUGAAAAUUUGGUAAAAUAUACAUACAAUUUGUCAUUUUAACCAUUUUUAAGUGUACAGUUCAGUGGCAUUAAUUACAUUCACACACUGCUGUUCAUUUCCAAAACUCUUUCAGCACUCCAAAUAGAAACUUGGCAGCCAUUAACCGGGAGCCCCCCAUGCUUCCUGUCUCCAGCCACUGCUGACCACUAUUCCACCAUCUUUCUGAACUUGCCUAUUCUAGGGACGUCAUGUGAGUGGAAUCAUACAUUAUUUAUCACUCUGUCUGGCUUAGUCCGUAACGCUUCUGAGGUUUACUCACAUUGUAGGAGGUGUUGCCUCUUCAUUUUUUAUGGCCGAGUAGCAUUUCAUCGUGUGUGUGCCGUGUUUCGUUUAUUCACGCAUCUGUCGAUGGCCACUUGAGUUGUUUUCAUCUUUUGGCUGUUGUGAAUAAUGCUGCUAUGAACGUGAGCAUACAAAUAACUCCUCAAAACUUUGCUUUCAAUCAUUUGACUAUAUUCCCAGAUAUGAAAUUGCUGGGCCAUAUGGUGAUUCUAUGUUUAAGUUUCGAGGCGCCACCACGCUAUUGUUCCCAGCAGCAAUGCACAAACGUUCCAGUUCCCCACAUUCUCACUAGUAUUUGUUGUUCUCUCUCUGUCUCUGUGUUUUGGCCAUCCUAACUAGUGUGAGGUCGUAUCCCAUUGUGGCUUUGAUUUGCAUUUCCCUAAUGAUUCAUCAUGUUGAGCAUCUUUUCAUGCACUUAUUUAAAAAUUUGAAAAUGUUUUUAGUGGAGGUGGAGGUCUCAGUGUAUUGCCCAAGCUGGUCUCAAACUCCUGGCCUCAUGAUCUGCCCACCUUGGCUUCCCACAAUGCUGUGAUUACAGGCAUGAGCCACCACACCUGGCCUCAUGCACUUAAUGACCAUGUUUAUGUCUUCUCUGAAGAAAUAUCUCUUAACCCCUUUGCGCAUUUAAAAAUGGGAUUGUUUGUUUUAUUGUCGUUGAGUCUUAGGAGUCCUUUAUGCAUUCUGGAUGUUCAUCCCUGUCAGAUACGUGAUUUGCAAAUACUCUCUCCCACCCCAUGAGCUGCUCUUUCACUGUGUCCAUACUGCCCUUUGCUGCACAGGUUUUAAUUCUCGUGAAGUCCAGGUUGUGCGUUUUCCUUUGUGCCUUGCACUUUUGUUGUCAGGUGCAAGAAACCAUUGCUGAGUCCACUGUCACGAACCUCUUCCUGUUUUCCUCUGUGAGCCACAUGUUUAGGUCUUUGACCCACUUUACAUUAAUUUUGUACAUGGUGUGAGGUAGGGCACAACUUCAUUCUUUUAGUGGCUACCAUGUCAGGUUGUGGUUACUGUUAACUUUUACAACUAGGAAUGAGAAGACUCAGAAAGUCGUGAUUUGGGGCUCAUUGAAUCUUUGUGAAGCUUUUCUAUUCAAGCUGCGCUUGGCUGGGCAACUUUUGACUCCAGUUAUGUGGGAGACAUGUCAUAAAUGUUUCUAAGGUUUGGUCACUCACAUUUUUUCAGUCUUAAUUCACAUUCCUCCCAAUAAUAGGGGGCAUGGCUCCGGGAGAGGGGUGAGGUCCUGGACAACAGCACACUUGUCUUUAAAAAUGUGUUGUUGGUGGGGUGUAGUUGCUUAUACCUGUAAUCCCAGUACUUUGUGAGGCUGAGGUGGGAGAAUCACUUGAGGCCAGGAGUUCAAGAGCAGCCUAGGCAACAAAGUGAGAUUCUGUCUCUAAAAAAAGUGGAAAAAAAUAUUAGCCAGGGGUAGUGGCAUGUGCCUGUAGUCCCAGCUACUCAGGAGGCUGAGGUAGGUGGAUCAUUUGAUCCUGGGAGGUUGAGGCCGCAGUGAGCCGAGAUCAUGCCACUGCACUCUAGCCUGGGUGACAGAGCAAGACCCUGUCUCAAAAAACAAAUAACAAAACAACAAAAACCCAAACAAAUGUGUUGUUGAUAUUUGGACACAGAACAGAAUAGCAGCAACCAACCAUGGGGAUGGGGGUGAGGCUGACCACAGAGGGACGCCAUGAGGGAUUGUUUUGGGGUGAUGAGACCAUCCUGAAUCUUGAUUGUGGUGGUAGUUUUGACUGCAUAUAGUCAAAACCCUUAGUACUAUGACACGAAACAAUGACUUUUACCGUCUCACAUUUAGGAAGUAACCGAAGCAUGAAUAGUGUACUGUUGUCAGGCAGUACUGAGUGGGGUCGGUGCUCCCUCUCUGGGCAGACCCCUGGGUCUGAGUUCGAGUCCCAGCCCUCUUGCUUCUUAGCUGUGUGCCUUGGUUCCCUUUUCUGGAAAAGGAAUGAGGAUUAAAUGGAUUCAGCUCUGAAUCAGGCUGCCCCUAAGGGGUCCCUCCUCACAAGGAUUUCCAGGCCCCAGGUGUGUGUGUCUGCGGGGAUGGAGGAGGAUGCACUGAGGACGUGGGAAGCUCAUGUUCCUGCAGGGUGCUCCACCAUCAUUUGCCUUUAUUUGGGGCCCUUCUUGGGUGGGGUGCUCUUUGUCUCCCACAGCAUCAGUUAUGUUCUGGGCACGUCCCAGGCAUGACCUGGACAUGGGGCAGCGGAAGGCUGGACCAGGCUGGCUGGUUCCUCCUGGGCUGGCGGAGCAGGAGGCCUGAGCUCUGAGGCCCUGGCUGGGUGGGCUAUUUCUGGCAUAAUCUGUUUUGCUGGCCAGCAAUUGCAGGGAUGGAGAGCCAAGUGAUCGGGAUGUGUCCUUGCCUGGACGUGGGAAGGCCUCACUCUGCUUUUGCUUGCUCCAGGUUCAAGAGCUGUUCUGAGCCGGAAGGAACAUGCUGUCCUUUGGGGCUUGAUGGGACAGGCCAGUCUCCCUUCUCGACUUUCCUGCUUAAGGGACAGGAGCUUCCUUUGGAAAUGAAGUGACUGGCAGUGCUGCUGUGGCAUGGUUGCCUUUCUCAUUUGGAGCCCUGAACAGUCUGGCAUCCUCUCCUCCAACAGCGACCUUCUGAUGGAACAGGCAAGCUGAAGUCACAGGGCAGGGGGCGGCCUCAGUGCCCCUGCGGAUGGGGGUGCGCUCUCUUGGAUGAGGCCUUCCUGCCACCUUCUGAUGGAACAGGCAAGCUGAAGUCACUGGGUGGGGGGCGGCCCCAGGGGUGCGCUCUCUUGGAUGAGGCCUUCCUGCCACCUUCUGAUGGAACAGGCAAGCUGAAGUCACUGGGUGGGGGGGCGGCCUCAGUGCCCCUGCGGAUGGGGGUGCGCUCUCUUGGAUGAGGUCUUUCUGCCAUAACCAGACAGGGGCGGGGUGCCAGGGAGAAGCAGGAUCAGGACACCCAGCGAUGGCUGUGGCCCCAGCAGUCCCUGAUUCCCUGUGUGCUUCCUUCCUGCUCAGCUGCUCCAUCCUGUGCUGCCUCCCUCAAGAGGACACCAGAGAGGAUGCGGCAGUCUGACACCGCGAGGAACACCCCCACGGAGGCUGGCCUCCUUUCCCACAGCCCACAGGGUCUUUAUGCUCAGCCAGUGGAGCUGUCUGGUCCUUGAGCCUGGGGGCUGUGGCUCUCCCAGUGAUCAGGUCACCAUCUCCAUGUGUGUCUGCUUUGCCUCGCUCAGGGGUCACCUGCCUAACACGCGCCAGUGAGCACUGGCUUUGUUUCAUCUGUGCUGUGUCAGCGGGGGCAGCGGGGACAGUGGCUCCACUCCCCCACUCCCUGGGCACAGCCCUCGCCCACAGCACUGUCCUGGUGUUGCACAGAUGCUGCAGCACCUCCAGCCUGGGUGGGUUUACACACAGUCCCCAGCAAGGGAGCCAGGGUGCUCAGCCUCCCUUGGAAGCAGCUGCCAGGGAAGAAGCCUGUGUGUGCUGAACACGGGCUCUGCUAAGCCUUGUCCCCGUGCACCACCUGUCCUGCUAUCUCCUAGUAGGCUCAGGUCCUCGAGACCCGCACCACUUGGGUAGCCUGACCUUGGUGCCUGAGUGCCCUGGCUCCUACCCAGCUGCUCCCCAGCUCCAAAGAGUGAGAAGAAGGAGAGGAAACGGAGUCAGGAUCCCCUGUCCCUUUUUACCCGGGGCAGGGCCAAGCUGGAGGGCAGCCAGGCUGCAGCAGAAGCCUCUUCUCCUCUUGGUCCCCAUGAUGGGGACUCCCCUUUUCCCCAGGGAUGCCGCUGGUAGCUGCUGUCACAAUGGGGAUAAAGCGAUUAUGUUUCCAGACUGUAGGGAGCCAACUCCCCCUGCAGGCUCAAGGGCCCUGAUCCUAUUGCCACCUGGGCAGGUCAGGGAGAGGGAUCCUAGCUUUGCUUCCCACCCAGUCUCCUGGCCCCAGACAGCCUGUGCCUGACAAGGGGCCACCUCCCUUUCCUUCCAUCAUGAGCUGCCUCUCCUGACCUCAAGAUGGCCUUGAUGUCCUGCUGGAGGAAUGAGGGCUGUAGGCGAGUGACCAGGUGACAAUGUGUCCGUGGUCUCCAGGGACCAGGUGACGAUGUGCCGGUGGUCUGCAGGGCCACUGUGGGAGUGUGUGUGUGUUGCAGGGUGGGGUGGGCUCAUCUGGGGCUCGCCUGGUUCUGUUCUCUCUUCUCUAAGUAUCCGAGAAAGCCUUAGUCACAGGUGCUGACGGAGAGCCCCUCUGCUCCCCUGCUGCACCAUGAGAGGACCCCCAAAGCUGUUGUGUGAAGGGCUCCUGGUGAAAGGCCUCCCGUUUAUCACACUGAUUCCAGUGCAGCAGGUAAAACUGCAGCCCAGAAUGGCCUGCCUUGCUCAGGGCUAGGCUUGGUCCCCUGAGAAAUAUCUUAGAGCCUCACUGUGCCUCCUCUAUCCCACCUCCCAGCUCCUCUCCUGUCCCCCUUUCUUCUGCCUCUGUGCAUAGUAGGAGCCUCUGGAAGGGGGACUUGGCACGGAAAGGCAGUGAGUGGGAGUUAGGAGCUACUGGCUCUCUGGUGUUUCCACCCUUGCUGCACACCCAGCUAUGCUCCCUUCCCUCUGGCGUCUCCUCAUGGACACUGGGGUCAUUAGGGGCAGCUGGGGAGACUGGGCUCCAGGAGGGGCAGGAAGGAGGGUGGCAGCAGGAGGAACUGGCCUGGGGCACGCCCAUGGUUGUAUGAUGUCCAGGCUUAGCAGGCAGCUCCUCACAGCACCAUGUGCCUGGGGCAGAAUGGGGGCUCCCUCCAGCAGAAGGGUGGUGCCUCGAGGUGAUUUUUGAUGCUGUCUGAUGGGGUUAGAGGACAUAAGAUCAUAAGAUCCUGGGCUGAGGACAAGUUGAUGCUGACAGUGCUCCUCCUUGUGGGGUCCUGAGGGUGCCACACACACAGGCUGGGCAGAGGCCAGUCCAGGCAUAGCCUGCUUGAUGCUGACAAUCUGCUGCUAAAAUGAGACUUCGCUUCUGACAGCAGAGGGAAAAAAUAAUAAUGCAUUGCUUGUUGACCCAAACUUUCCAUGCAAGUCCCUAUAAAGUGUUUAGUUAUGAAUACGAUCCCUGAACAAGUUCCCCAGAUGUAAUGGAAACGUGAGAUUGUGCCUCCUGGUGAGGGAGAAUCUGCGGGGCUGCAAUGUCCCAUGCUCAGUGCAUCCCUGCGUGGUCACAGGCAUGUGACUUCAGCACAGCUGUGGAAGGGUCACAAGCUGUCACUGCACCAACCUUGGACCAGCCUCGUGCAGGGCAGUCACCCCCGCGGCUGCAGUACUGUCUCUGUGUGAAGGCUGUCCCCGCACCUAGAGUCCCAGGAUGGCUAUUUUGUUGUGCUCACAGCUUCUGUGAGUCCAGGCUGGGGAGGGCACAGGGGACAGCUGGACUUUGCUCCAGUGUCGGGGCCUCAGCUGGGAGAGCCCAAGUCUGGCAGCAGAGGCUCAUGUCAUCAGGCGUCCCCCAGCACCCUCCUGGAGGGCUCUGUGUGCGGCGGCUCAGCACAGCGGGACUUCUGACAUGGCCAAGGCUCCAGGAACAAGGGCUGCAGAGAACAGGUGGGGCUGCCUCACCUUAGGACACAUCUCAAAGUCACAUUGUGCUACCUCUGUCCAUUGGUCAGUAGGUCCAAGAAGGAGGGCUUCUCAGUGGAGCAAUAUCAGGGCCGAUGUGGAGAGCAACUUGCAGGGUAGAGAAGUCAUGUGGUUGUAAACAUCAUGUGCAAUUCACACAUUCUACUAAUUGUACUUGGAAAGUGGCUUGAGACUUCUUUUUGCCCAUCAUUUUGCUAAACUUGUGUACUGAAUUUUGGGAAUGUAAAUUUCCCCUGUAAAUAUGCUGAGGCCCACUAGGAGAGGUAUGAUACAAAAGAUGGACAGAAACAAGUGUUGCUGAGGAUGUGGGGAACUCAGAACCCUCAGACACUGCUGCUGGGAACGAGAGCUGUACAGCCACUUUGGAAAAGAGUUUGGCAGUUCCUGAAGAAGUUAAGCCUAUCCAGAAAGUCCACUCCUACAUAUACAUUUAAGAGAAUUGAAAAUGUGCAUUCCAAAUACAGGACAACUGAACAACCUGCUCCUCAAAGACUAUUGGAUAAAUAAAUAACAAAAUGAAGGCAAAAAUAAAGGUGUUCUUUGAAACCAAUGAGAAUGAAGACAAUGUACCAGAAUGUCUGGGACACAGCUAAAGCAGUGUCUAGAGGGAAAUUUAUAGCACUAAAUGCCCACGAGAGAAAGCAGGAAAGAUCUAAAAUUGACACCCUAAUGUCACAAUUAAAAGAACUAAAGAAGUAAUAGCAAACAAAUUCAAAAGCUAGCAGAAGACAAGAAAUACCUAAGAUCAGAGCAAAACUCAAGGAGAUAGAGACACAAACCUUUCAAAAAAUUGAUGAAUCCAGGAGCUGGUUUUUUGAAAGUAUCAACAAAAUAGACCACUAGCCAGACUAAUAAAAAAGAAAAGAGAGAAGAUUCAAAUAGAUACAAUAAAAAAUGAUAAAGGGGAUAUCACCACCAAUCCAAAAGAAAUACAAACUACCAUCAAAGAAUACUAUAAACACCUCUAUGCAAAUGAACCAGAAAAUCUAGAAGAAAUGGAUAAAUUCCUUGACAUUUACACCCUCCCAAGACUACAGUAGGAAGGAGUGGAAUCCCUGAAUGGACCAAUAACAUGUUCUAAAACUGAGGUAAUAAUUAAUAACCAAAAAAAGCCCAGGAUCAGAUGGAAUUCUACCAGAGAUACAAAGAGGAGCUGGUACUAUUCCUUCCGAGACUAUUCCAAACAAUAGAAAAAGAGGGAAUCCUCCCUAACUCAUUUUAUGAGGCUAACAUCAUCCUGAUACUGAAACCUGGCAGAGACACACAACAACAAAAUUUGAGGCUAAUAUCCCUGAUGAACAUUGAUGUGAAAAUCCUCAAUGAAAUACUGGCAAAUCUAAUCCAGCAGCACAUCAAAAACUCAUCCACCACGAUCAAGUCAGUUUCAUCCCUGGGAUGCAAAGUGGGUUCAACAUAUGGAAAUUAAUAAACAUAAUCCAUCACAUAAACAGAACCAAAGACAAAAACCACAUGAUUAUCUCAAUAGAUGCAGAGAAGGCCUUCGACAAAAUUCAACAGCCCUUUAUGCUAACAACUCUCAAUAAACCAGGAACAUAUCUCAAAAUAAUAAGACUAUUUAUGACAAACCCACAGCCAGUAUCAUACUGAAUGGGCAAGCCCUGGAAGCAUUCCCUUUGAAAACCAACACAAGACAAGGAUGCCCUUUCUCACCACUUCUUUUCAACAUAGUAUUGGAAGUUCUGGCCAAGGCAAUCAGACAAGAAAAAGAAAUAAAGGGUAUUCAAUUAGGAAAAGAGGAAGUCAAACUGUCUCUAUUUGCAGAUGACAUGAUUGUAUAUUUAGAAGACCCCAUUGUCUCAGCCCAAAAUCUCCUUAAGCUGAUGAGCAUCUUCAGCAAAAUCUCAAGAUACAAAAUCAAUGUGCAAAAAUCACAAGCAUUCCUAUACGCCAAUAACAGACUAACAGAGAGCCAAACCAUUAGUGAACUCUCAUUCACAAUUGCUACAAAGCGAAUAAAAUACCAAGAAAUACAACUUACAAGGGAUGUGAAGGACCUCUUCAAGGAGAACUACAAACUACUGCUCAAGGAAAUGAGAGAGGACACAAGCAAGUGGAAAAACAUUCCAUGCUCAUGGUUAGGAAGAAGCAAUAUCAUGAAAAUGGCCAUACCACCCAAAGUAAUUUAUAGAUUCAAUGCUAUCCACAUCAAGCUACCAUUGACUUUCUUCACAGAAUUGGAAAAAAGUACCUUAAAUUUUAUAUGGAACCAAAAAAGAGCUCAUAUAGCCAAGACAAUCCUAAGCAAAAAGAGCAAAGCUGGAGGCAUCACACUACCUGACUUCAGAUUAUGCUACAAGGCUACAGUAAUCAAAACAGCAUGGUACUGGUACAAAAACAGAUAUAGACCAAUGGACCAGAACAGAGGCCUCAGAAAUAAUGUCACACAACUACAACCAUCUGAUCUUUGACAAACCUGACAAAAAACAAGCAAUGAGGAAGGGAUUCUCUAUUUAAUAAAUAGUGUUGGGAAAACUGGCUAGCCAUAUGCAGAAAGCUGAAACUGGAUCACUUCCUCACACCUUAUACAAAAAUUAACUCGAGCUGGAUUAAAGACUUAUAUGUAAGACCUAAAACCAUAAAAACCCUAGAAGAAAACCUAGACAAUACCAUUCAGGACAUAGGCAUGGGCAAAGACUUCAUGACUAAAACACCAAAAACGAUGACAACAAAAGCCAAAAUAACAGGUGGGAUCUAAUUAAACUAAAGAGCUUCUGCACAGCAAAGGAACUAUGAGUGAACAAGCAACCUACAGAAUGGGAGAAAAUUUUUGCAAUCUACCCAUCAGACAAAAGGCUAAUAUCCAGAACUGACAAAGAACUUAAACAAAUUUACAAGAAAAAAACAAACAACCCCAUCAAAAAGUGGGCAAAGGAUAUGAACAGACACUUCUCAAAAGGAGACAUUUAUGCAGCCAACAAACAUGAAAAAAUGUUCAUCAUCACUGGGCAUUAGAGAAAUGCAAACCAAAACCACAAUGAGAUACUAUCUCACGCCAGUUAGAAUGGCAAUCAUUAAAAAAUCUGGAGACAACAGAUGCUGGAGAGGAUGUGGAGAAAUAGGAAUGCUUUUACACUGUUGGUGGGAGUGUAAAUUAGUUCAGCCAUGGUGGAAGACAGUGCAGUGAUUCCUCAAGAAUCUAGAAAUAGAAAUACUAUUUGACCCAGCAAUGCCAUUACUAGGUAUAUAUUCAAAGGGGUACAAAUUGUUCUAUUAUAAAGACAGAUACACACAUAUGUUUAUUGUGGGACUCUUCAUAAUAGCAAAGACUUGGAACCAACCCAAAUACCCAUCAAUGAUAGAAUGAAUUAAGAAAAUGUGGCACAUAUACACCAUGGAAUACUAUGCGGCCAUAAAAAAGGAUGAGUUCAUGUCCUUUCCAGGGACAUGGGUGAAGCUGGAGACCAACAUUCUCAGCAGACUGACACAAGAACAGAAAACCAAACACUGCAUGUUCUCACUCGUAAGUGGGGUUGAACACAUGGACACAGGGAAGGGAACAUCACAUUCUGGGGCCUGUUGGGGGAUGGGGGGCUAAGGGAGGGAUAGCAUUAGGAUUGACAGCAUGUGGAAUAGCCAUAGGAGGAAAUAUCCAGUCAUAAAAUGGAACGAAGUAUUGACUUAUGCACCAGCAUGAAUCAUUCUUGAUGCUAAGAAAAACAAGCCUAGUGGAAAAGGCUUCCUAUUGUAGAAUUCCUCUGAUAUGCAAAUCCAUAGAUACAGACAGUGGAUUGCUGGUCACCAGGGCUGGGGACUGAGGGGUGGAGAGUGACUGCUAAUGAGUGUGGGAUUUCUUUGAUGAAAAUGUUCUAGAAUUAGAUAGUUGUACAACCUUGAAAAUAUACUAAGACCCACUGAAUUGUAUACUUUGAAAGGGUGAAUUUCACAGUAUGUGAGUUAUGUCUUCAUAAAAAUUGUUUUAGAAGAAGGUUCUGAGAAACGUGUCCUUAGGUGAUUUUGUCAUUGCAUGAACAUCGGCAUGUACUUCACCAGCCCGAUGGUAGCACUGACCGCAAGUCUAGGCUGCAUGCUAUGGCCGAUUGCUCCUGGGCUGCAAACCUGUAAGGCAUGUCUCUGUACUGACUACUGUGGGCAACUGUAAUAUAAUGGUCAGUAUUUGUGCAUCUAGACAUAUCUGAAUAUGGAAAAGGUGCAGCAGAAAUACGGUAUUGUAAUCUUAUGGGACCACCAUCCUAUAUGUGGUCUGCUGUUGACUUAAAGGUCAUCACGCGGUGCAUGAUUGCAUCUAAAAAAUCAGCUGAGAGAUACGUCCUUUCUGUGAACUCUGAGUGUUGAACGUCAAGUGCCUUUCUACUGGGAGGGGUUCUUCAGGGCAUGGCUGUGAUAAAGGGGUGUAGGCACCCCACUGUUUCCUCAUGCAGGGAUCGCUGGAGGAGGAUGAGUUGGAGAUGUAGCUGACACCAAAGCCCCAGCAGCCAGGCAUCUACCUCAAACCCAGUGUGAACCUUGGGACAGGUUUGCUCAACCAAGCCUGGCAGGUGGGCGCGGAGAAGAUGCGAUGACCAGGAAACAGGAGUGGAGCCUCAGAGUCAUGUGAGGAUGAAGAGUCUGAAGGCAUGGGAGCCCUGCCCACUAGUAACAUGGGCCUCAUGAGGGUCUGGCCCUGGCCAAUCCCAUCAGCACUUCCUCCUCUGUGUGGGUGCUUGGUGUGUGUGGGCACAGGGGGAGCAGGGAUUAAGCAGCAGUGAGACUCAGGCAUGGUCAGGCCAGUAGGCACCAAGCUGCUGUGGGACAGUCUGGCCACAGCCACCAUCCCCUGGGAGAAGAGGGUGGGCAAGACCUGGUGGGCUGUCAGGGCAUGGCCUGAAGUUUAGGACAGAGGUUAUGCCCAAAGAGGAAUGGGAUUCUCCUGGGGGACCAGGAUGCAGCCACAGUGGGGGAGCAGGGGAAGGUGGGAGGGAGAAGGGGUGCAUUCUGCUGGAAUCAGUCACCUUGGAGUCACCAGUAGGCAAGCCUCUUGGUAUUUCUGCCUGGGCCCCCCUGUCCUGUAACUUACUGUAACCAGUGAAGCAGGAGGGAGUGACAGGGAACUGUGCCAGUCCCAGGCCUAAGCUCAAGGGGGUCUAAGCUUCUGCAUUUGCACUGGGGGAGCCUGAGCUGCAGCGUAAUGUGCUGAGCCCCGAGACUUGUGGAGAGAAUGAGGUGCAGCUGCCCCAGCCUCCAAGCUGAGUCCGGCCCUACUGGCCUUUCAGCUCCAUGCGACCAUGUGUGUGACCUCUGGCCACGCCAGAAGGAGAUAUUCCCAGCUGAGCCCAGCCCUGUUUGCAGAAUCCUAGCAAAUAAAGUGACCAUUAUUUUAAGUGGCUGAGUUUUGGGGUAGCUGGAACUCCCACUCCAGGCUUAUCCUCUGAUCCCUUCCUGGUGAGCAGAGGUAGCAGAUCCACCUCCAGCUCUGGACAGAACUGGUGCUGCAGAGAGAGAGACUUGACACUGCAGGGAGAGAGACUUGAUGCCACAGGGAGAGAGGCUUCAUGAGUGACACUGGCGCAGGCAGGCUGGCAGGCAGGGUACCAGCAGGAGCAGCCUGAGUUGGAUGGUCUCUGGGCCUGAGGGGUCUUGGGCAGGCAUUCCCAGGCAGUGCUAAUCUGCCCAUGGCCCAGGGAAUGUCUUGGAGCUCAGCUGACCAUGGGUCAAUCUACAGAGUUGUCUGAAGUGUCCGUCACAGGCUACCAGACAUAAAGCACGUCUAGGUUAUCUUGUUUCUCGCCAAAUGGGUGUCAAACUCAGCAUCUGACACAAGUGGGCUCAAAACUAGCUAUGUGGAGAAGUGCGUGAGAGGGGAGCAUUCCCCAGAGGCUUCCAUGGUGGAUCCCUUCUAGCCCUCACCAGACCUUGAGCCACUCUCUAUAGCCAGACUGAAGGCACUGGGAGGCCAGGGAUGGAUCUGGAAGGGAUGUGGUGCCCACAGUAGGUGCCCAGCAAUGCUUGUGGCAUGACGAAGUGUGGGAGGUGGAGAGCCUUGACCUCUUCUGGAUGCUUUUCCUGCAGGCAGGCAUGGCGUGCACGUGCACAGGACAGAGCUGAUAAAGAAUGAGCUUUGUCUCCUCCUGGCAGGCACAGAGAGUCUGAGUCUCUUAUGUGUCAAGAAUUCUGUGUUAUUUAAAAUUUAGCUAUUGUGACCAAAACACAUUUAUAAAUUCGCCUGUCAGUAUCCCUUUUCUCUUUCCAUCUUCUCAUCCCUUAAGAGUCAGAGGACCCUCAAGAUGGAUCAGCAGUGCCCUGGUGUGUGUGGAGAGGGGCCCCAGGGGUGUGGAGCCUGCUGGGCAUUGCAGAGCUGGCAGCGCCUCUGCGUUAUUGCUCCAUGGACUCUGUUUUCCCCUGCUCCACUCCUCCCUUGUCACCAUCCCCACCCCACACCUUUCCACUCUGAUUGGUGAAACUCUGUGAGAUGUGCAGGUCUGUCUGUGUGUUUUCAGUGAAUGCAAGUGUACUACCCAGCUCCUAUUUCUCACCUCUGCUCUCAGCCUGAUGCUCUUCAGAUACACCACCGUGUUUUCUGGGCUUCUGGUAUUGCUUUGUGCAGCUGAUAGUAUUUUUUUUCUUUCUUUCUUUCUUUUUUUGAGAUGGAGUCUCACUCUGUAGCCCAAGCUGGGGUGCAGUUGCACAAUCUUGGCUCACUGCAACCUUCACCUCUGGGGUUCAAGUGAUUCUCCUGCCUCAGCCUCCCAAGGAGCUGGGAUUAUAGGUGCCCGCCACCAUACCUGGUUGAUAUUUUUGUAUUUUUAGUAGAGACUGGGUUUCACCAUAUUUCCCUGGGUGGUCUUGAACUCCUGAGCUCAGGCGAUCCACCUGCCUUGGCCUCCUGAAGUGUUGGGAUUAUAGGUUUGAGCCACCACGCCCAGCCAGCUGUUAGUCUUCUUACGUGCAUUUAAGAUAUUCAGUUAUUCCCUCCUGAUGGUGGCAAUGGGUUGUCCUGAAUGCUAUCAUGACACCUGAAGAACAUCCCUGCACAUUGUCUCAGGACAUCUGGGAGGAGAAUCAACAGGUCAUCACCACCUUUCCCCCCAAGAUUUAUCACUAAGUGUUGUAUAGUUUUUGAUGUUUGUUAUAGGUCAUAUUUUCCCGUUUCCUUAUGUGCUUGAUAAUUUUUGAUUGGCUGUCAUAGAUUAUGAAUUUUAUCUUGCUGGUUGCUGGUCACUUUUGUUUUCUACGAAUAUUUUUGAGCUUUGUUUUGGGAUGGAACGAAGUUAUUUGGAAACAGUUGGAACCAUUUGGGUCUGACUUUUAAAUAUUGUUAGUGGAACAAGCAAGAGAGGCCGUUAGUUGAGGGCUGAUAUUCCCACAAAUGGAGCCAAAUUCAUUGAGGACUCUCCCAGUGUCUGGUAUGGCUGGUGGGAGAUGGCACCACUUCUGGCCCUGAGUGGCAGUGACUACAACUCCCUGUCUUCCUUUCCAGCCGUUCUUUCCCAUGUCAGGCAGCUUCCCUGCAGUGUGUGCUGAUCAGUUCCCAUCUGAUCUGCCAGCUGUAAAGAGAGGUCCAGGAGGAAAGGCGUGAGACCAUCUGUCUACAGUUCUGUCAGUGAGCCACCAUCGACGUGGGGUCUCCUGCCCAGUCAAGCCUUCCAUGACCACAAUCUCAGCUACAACUUGACCACCAGCCCGUCAGAGACCCCAAAUCAGAAACUUGACACCCAACUGAGCCACUUCCAAUCCCUGCCCUCAGACGCUGUGUGAGCUAUUACAUGCUUGGAAUGCCAAGCCACUAGAUUUGAGGUAUUCUGUUUUGUAGCAGGAGAUAACCAGCACAUACGUUAAUGUGUGCCCACCUGUACACCUCUGCACACACUCCCUCCAUCUGUGCCUUCCACUCCUUUUCAUCCCCAUGUUUCUGCCCCACCCAUUUCAAGGCUAAGCCUCCCUACCAGAUGCCCUUGAUUCUUUUAGAGGGAGGAACUUUUCCUGUGGAUGACCUUAGAGCCUUCUUUGUGCCUGCUUUAAGGACACCUGUCUUCUACCUUGUUAGCACCUUUCCUGUGUGAUAGCUGCAUCCUGUCCUGCUCUGUGGUUCCUGAGGACAGGAGCCAGGGACAUGAACAUCUGUGACUCCAUAGCUGGUGGUCCCACUGUGGAGGUGUCACAUGCCCUCACACACCACAGCAAAACCCUCUCCCACACCUGGCCCUGCAGAGCUCGUCUGAUGCCACACACAUAUCCAUGCCUAGGUUGCCCAUAUUAUAAGUACGGGAGACAAUUUCCCACACCUGCAGGGCUGACUCUACUCACUCACCUGAGACUUGGGCCAGGAGGAGCCUUUCAGGAUAUGGGACUGCUGUGGUUUGAAUGUGUCCCCUAAACUUCAGGUGUUGGAAACUUAGUCCCCAAAUCCCUGUUGAUUGGAGGUAGGGUCUUUGGGAGGUGAUUGGGGUUAUAUAAAGUCAUCUGGGUGGGGCCCCCAUGAUGGGACCAGUGGCUUUAUAAGAAGAGGAAGAGAGACCUGAUGUGGCAUGUUCUUGUCCUGUCUCCAUGUGAUGCCUUCUGCUAUGUGAAGCUGGAGCAGAUAGACCCCCACAAGAUGCCAGUGCCAUGCUCUUGGACUUCCCUGCCUCCAAAACUGUGUGCCUGAGACUGGGUAAUUUAUAAAGAAAAGAGGUUUAAUUGACUCACAGUUUUGAAUGGCUGGGGAGGCCUCAGGAAACUUACAAUCAUGGUGGAAGGUGAAGGAGAAGCAAAGGCAUGUCUUACAUGGCAACAGCGAAGAGUGAGUGAACAAAGGAGGGAGCCCCUUAUAAAACCAUCAGAUCUCGUCUCACAGCUCCACUAGGCAGUGCCCAGUGGGGACUCUUUGUGGGGGCUCCAACCCACAUUUCUCUUCCAAACUGCCCUAGCAGAGGUUCUCCAUGAGGGCUCCACCCCUGCAGCAGACUUCUGCCUGAACACCUAGGCAUUUACAUACACCCUCUGAAACAUAGGUGGAGGCUCCCAAAGCUCAACUCUUGUCUUCUGUGCACUUGCAGGCCCAACAUGAUGUGGAAGUUGCCAAGGCUUGGGGCUUGCACCCUUUGAAGCCAUGGGCCAAUGUGUACCUCGGCUCCUUUUAGCCAUGGCUAGAGCUGGAGCAGCUGGGACUCAGGGUGCCAUGUCCUGAGGCUGCACAGCGCAGCAGAGCCCUGGGCCUGGCCACAAAACCGUUUUUUCCAUCCUGGGCCUCCAGGCCUGUAAUGGGAGGGGCUGUUGUGAAUAACUCUAAAAUGUCUUGGAGACAUUUUCCUCACUGUCUUGGCUAUUAACAUUAGGGUCCUUGUUACUUAUGCAAAUUUCUGUGGCCAGCUUGAAUUUCUCCCCAGAAAAAGUGUGUGUGUGUGUGUGUGUGUGUGUGUGUGUGUGUUUCUACCACAUGAUCCGGCUUCAAAUUUUCUAAACCUUCAUGCUCUGCUUCCGUUUUAAGCAUAAGUUCCAAUUUCAAACCAUCUUUGUGUGACUACGUUUGAUGAAAUGCUUUUAUAAUCAGCCAGGUCACAUCUUGAAUGCUUUGCUGCUUAGAAACAUUUUCUGCCAUAUACCCUAAAUCAUCUCUUUAGAAUUCAAAGUUCCACAGAUCUCUCAGGUAGGGGCAAAAUGCUGCCUGUCUUUUUGCUAAAGCAUAGAAAGAGUGGCCUUUGCUCCAGUUCCCAGUAAGUGUCUCAUCUCCAUCUGAGACCACCUCAGCCUGGACUUCACUGUCCAUAUCACUAUCAACAUUUUGGUCAAAACAAGUCUCUAGAAAGUUCCAAACUUUCCCACAUCAUUCUGUUUCUUCCAAGCCCUCUAAACUGUUCUGCUAUCUGCCUGUUACCCAGUAAAGCUGCUUCCACAUUCUCAGGUUAUUCUUUAUAGCAGUGCCCCACUUUUCAUACCAGUGUUCUGUGUUAGUUCAUUUUCACACUGCUGUAAAGAAUACCUGAGACUGGGUAAUUCAUAAAGAAAAGAGGUUUAAUUGACUUAAAGUUCUUCAGGGCUGGGAAGGCCUCAGGAAAUUUACAAUUAUGGUGGAAGGCAAAGGGGAAGCAGGCACUUUUUUCACAAGAUGGUUGGGGCGGAGAGAGAGAGAGUCCUACGCUUUUUUUUUUUUUGAGACGGAGUUUUGCUCUUGUUACCCAGGCUGGAGUGCAAUGGCACGAUCUUGGCUCACCACAACCUCUGCCUCCUGGGUUCAGGCAAUUCUCCUGCCUCAGCCUCCUGAGUAGCUGGGAUUACAGGCACACACCACCAUGCUCAGCUAAUUUUUUGUAUUUUUAGUAGAGACGGGGUUUCACCAUGUUGACCGAGAUGGUCUCUAUCUCUUGACCUCGUGAUACACCCCCCUCGGCCUCCCAAAGUGCUGGGAUUACAGGCAUGAGCUACCGCGCCCAGCCCAGUCCUACACUUUUAAAGCAUUGGAUCUUGUGAGAACUCACUCACUAUCACCAGAACAGCAGGUCCCUCCCUCAACAAGUGGGGAUUACAAUUCAAGAUGACAUUUUGGUGGGGUCAUUGGGCCAAACCAUAUCAAGCAGAGACAGGGAUGUGAGGAAAUGGAAUUUCUUAACCAUCAGAGUUGAGGUUAGUACCAGUGCUUACAAGAGAAAUUUGGCUGCAGAGAUGUUAUUUAGGAGUGUAUUGCUUACUACCCAAACAUAUGGGGAUUUUCUAGUUGUAUUUAAAUGAUUGAUUUCUGGCCCGUUCCAUGGUGUAUGUCCUGUGUAUGACUUUGGUCCUUUUCACUUUGUUGAGUGUUGUGAAUGCCCCAGGUGCUCUCAGAAGCAAUGGACACUCUGCAGGUGUUGGGAUUCAGGUCAAGGUGGGUCAUUGUGUUGUGUCUCCUAGAUCUCUGUGGACUUUUUUCCUUCCUGUUCUGUCAGUUUUACAGAGAGGGGUUUGACUCUGCCACUGUGGCCACGGGCUUGUCUACCGCUCCUUUUGGUUCUGCCAGGUUUUGCUUAGGAUGCCUGUUAUUUCAUGCCACAAGCUUAGGACAUUGCAUUUCUGUUUGCUUGUUACCUUCUGUCAUUCCUGAACGUCCCUCAUGUGUAUUACUGCUUCCUGUCUGAUGUUCACAUUGCCACAAUGGAAUUUUCUUACUAUUUUAGUUUCAACUCUUCUGUAGGCUUGUAUUUCAGAUGUGUCUGCUGUAUGUUAUUCUUGCAUUAAUCAUUUGCCUAGUUUCAUUCCCUAGACAUUUGCUGAUGACUCUUAUGCCAGAUGCCCACUUGAGAGCCUGGAGAGAGUGGCAGUAGCGCCCACUGCCUGCUGUGUGACCUGCUUGCACCCCUGGGGACUCCAGCUCUGGGGCCUGUGCUGAUUCUGCUCUGACAAACUGUGCAGCCCUCUCUAAGCGCCGUCUCCAGUGGGAACAGUAUCGUCCACUUUGAAGUUCUGGACUCGGGUGUAGGAUGUGAUGGUUCUCUCAUUUUAAUCUCUCUCUAGAUCUGACAAUUUAAAAGAACUUGCAUUCCUCAGACAAAAGUUCUUUUUUCUUUUUGCAGGAAAUAUUUUGCUGAAUUUGAUCAGUAACAUUAGCAGAAAUUUCCACUUCCAUUAAAAUUGUUAAUCAUUUUAAAUCUAAAGAGCAAACCAAGAAAACAGUGCUUAUUACUGAUUAUCACGUGACAGUUGACUUUUAAAGUCAAGGUGACUGAGGUAUAAUUUGCACAGAUUAAAAUUCACCCUUUUUAGAUGCAUAAUUUGAUGAUUUUCCCUGGGUUAGCACCUAAGGUUGUAUGGUAAACAUAUGUGAAACCACAUUUGCAAAAUUAUGACAGUGACAGAAAUCUGACAGAGUGGACUCCACGUUGCUUCUAACUCCAAGCUGUCUUGGUCAUUCCUUGGCACAGGCCAAGCUAACUUUGGGAAGAAUUUAGCUUAGAGUUUAGCUAAAGUUUUCAUUUUAGUUUAUAGUUUAAAGCAAGGAUGAUAAUAGCUCUUCUGCAAAACUAAGCCACCUUUGUAAAAGUAAUAAAAGGCCCCAAGGUUAGGAUUUUGAGAGGGGCUGAAUCGUGCUGAGAUUAGCCAUCACUAGACAUUGUCUCAGCAGUCACAAGAUGUGCAGCUUCUCCAGUUCUCCUGUGGAUGACAUCAUCAUUGUAGAACCCAAGAUUGGCCUUUUGAGAGUUUUCCCCCCAAGACUUCUGCAUUUCUGGUGACUGGGUGAUGGUACCUAGACCUGAGGCUUGUGACUUACCUGGUCCUGUGCCCAGUCUCCACAGAGGGGGACUCAGUGCACAAGAACUGUUUUCACACAGUUCUAUGAUUUUAUCACCAGCCAGUCAGCAGCACACAUUCCCUAGACUCUGGCCCACCAAAUAAUCCUUGAAAAACCAUAACGUCUGAGCCUUCUGGGAGACUGAUUGAGUGAAAACCAGAGUUAUCCUAUAGGGCUGGCCUUGCAUUAAUUAAACUCUUUCUUUUUUUCUUUUUAAAGGCAAGACAGGCUUAUUCAUAUUGAUAAUUCAAAUAGAGAACUCAAAUGCUCCUGACACGGUAUCAUUUUCAAGUACAAUUCUUGUUACCAAGUUUACAUUUACACAGUUGUUUCCCUCCCUAGAUAAAACCAUCUGAUCUGCUGGAAACACCAACCAGUAGUUGAACCAACCAUUUAAUUAACCUAUAAAAGCUUUGUGGAACUUUAAAGAAACUAUAAUAGUAAAUUGGUUCCCAAAACUUUCUUUUUUUUUUUAUUAUACUUUAAGUUCUGGGUACAUGUGCAGCACAUGCAGUUUUGUUACAUAUGUAUACCCGGGCCAUGGUGGUUUGCUGCACCCAUCACCCCAUCAUCUACAUUAGAUAUUUCUCCUAAUGCUAUCCCUCCCCUAGCCCCCCACCCCAACAGUCUCGGUGUGUGAUGUUCCUCUCCUGUGUCCAUGUGUUCUUAUUGUUCAACACCCACUUAUGAGUGAGAACAUGCAGUGUUCAGUUUUCUGUUCUUGGGUUAGUUUGCUAAAUAUAUAACCAUAUCAUCUGCAAAUAAAGACAAUUUGACUCCCUUUCCUAAUUGAAUACCCUUUAUUUCUUUCUCUUGCCUGAUUGCUCUGGCCAGAACUUCUAAUACUGUGUUGAAUAGAAGUGGUGACAGAGGGCAUCCUUGUCUAGUGCCAGUUUUCAAAGGGAAUGCUUCCAGUUUUUGCUGGAAUAUAUAUAUUGGCUGUGAGUUUGUCAUAAAUAGCUCUUAUUAUUUUCAGAUAUGUUCCAUUCAUACCUAGUUUAUUGAGAGUUUUUAGCAUAAAGGGCUGUUGAAUUUUGUUGAAGGCCUUCUCUGCAUCUUUUGAGAUAAUCAUGUGGUUUUUGUCUUUAGUUUUAUGUGAUGGAUUACAUUUAUAGAUUUGUGUAUGUUGAACCAGCCUUGCAUCCCAGGGAUGAAGCUGACUUUUCAAAUUACACACACAUAUAUAUAUAUAUAUAUAUGUAAUGUGGGGUUCCUCUUUGUCAUCCAGGCUGGAAUGCUGUGGUCCAAUCAUAGCACACUGCAGCCUCAACCUUCUGGGCUUAAGCAGCCCUCCUGCUUCAGCCACCUGAGUAGCUGAGACUAAAGUCACACUCCCACCCCUGGCUAUUUUUUUUUAAUUAAAAAAAAUUUUUAGAGAUGAGGUCUUGCUAUGUUUCCUAGGCUGGUCUUGAACUUCUGUGCUCAAGGAAUCCUCCUGCCUCAGCCUCCUAAAGUGUUGUGAUUACAGGCGUGAGCCACUGCACCCAGCCCAUUGUCAGUACUCUUAAUUUUAAUUAUUUUAGUGUGAGGUGAGGGCUUAUUUGCAUUUUCCUCUUGCCUAGUGAUGGGGAGCCUCUGACCACACAUAGAUUUCCUAAGUGAGGUGUCUGCUCACAUAUUUUCCCAUCUUUCUAAGUUAGGCUGUUUGUUUUCUUAUUGAGUUUCGAGAAUUUUUAAAAUAUACAUUCAGAUACAAUGCCUUUAUCAUAUAUGCAGGCCUUCAUCAGCAAAUAUUUUCUCUCCGUGUGUGGGUUUUGAUUUUCUUAAUAGUGUCUCCUCGAAAAACAAAAGGUUUUCCUUUUUAUCAAGUCCAGUCUAUCAUUUUCUGCUUUUCUGAGUCAUUUCUGGUAUUCUAGCAACAACUUACUUUUCAACCCAAGGUCCUUAAGUUUUUUUCCUCAUGUUUUCUUCUGGAAGUUUUAUAGUUUUAGCUUCUGCAUUUAGUUUAUGAUUCAUUUUAAGGUUAAGUUUUGCAUAUGAUGGAAGGUGAGGGUUGAAGUGUUUUUAUGCACACGAUUCUUCACUUGUUCCAGCACCAUUUGAAGAGACUAUCUUUUCCCUACUGCAUUAUCUUGGCAUCUCUGUAAAAAUCAAUUAAUCAUAUAUGCAUAGUCUAUUUCUGGAAAAUUUUGUUCCACUGAUACGUAUGAUGCCCUGUGCCAGUACUGUACUGUCUUUAUUUUUGUAGAUUUUUAGUUGCUUAUUACUAGAAAUAGCUAUCAUAUAGAAGUGGUGGGUUUAAAAACUGCUCUGCUCUGGAUGUCAAGCACACCAAAAACAUUGCUAACUAGAAGAGAUUAAUAAGAAGCAGACAAGAAUCUUCUGAGUGGGGAAUCUAUAGCCUGACUCCCCCUGCAGCUUCCUGAGCAGAAAUCAGGGGUACCCUAGCCUGGGGGAGAAGGACUGUGGUCACCUGCACCAUAGCAAGAAGCUCUGUUUGGAGCAGAGCCUGGUGUGGCCAUGGGUUGGGUGCUGGGGAAGACCCUGGAGAGCUGUGUUCCCUGAAGGGUUUGAACCAAGGGGAAGACAUGCUCCAUGUGCUUCUUUCUGCCAUGGAAUUGGUGGGAGAUUAGAAUUGUCAUGAGCUGCAAGGCAGGCUUUCCCCUGCACAUGUUCAUAGAAUGAGCCCUCCUGCUCUCAGCCUCUGGUGUUCAUUUCCAAGUAACUGGCUAGAGGCAGUGGACAGUAAAUCAGUAGUUCAUCUUGUAAGAACCUGGUGUGAUUAGCUUGGGGCUGUAGUGAGGAGGGAGAUCCUUCUGGGCUGCUGAUACACUUGACUCAAAUGACAUCCCAGAGUAACACUGUUCAGUUCUCUUCAAGCCAUUUCUGAGUAUCCAGAGCUUCCUUUACGGGAGAGCAUGUUGGGGGAUGGAGCAUGUUCAGCGAAUGGCACAGCUACAAGUUCAGUUGGCCGGAACAAAGGACCAGUGGGGCAAGGCUGUGGUGCCCACUCUGGGUGUGGACAGUCCUGCAGGAGAGUUGAUGUGUUUCCUACUGAGCUUUGCUCUGCUGACUUGCUGGUGGCAUUGUGGGCACCAGUGUCAGUACUGGGAAAAUAAUCCAUGUAUGUCCCAUGGAGCAGGUUGGUACAUGGAGCAAACCGCAGCAGACCUGUAGAAGAGGGGCUUGACUGUUAAAACAACAACAAAAAAACCCCACAAAACCCUAAGAAACAGAAAGCAACAACCAUCAACAAAAAAGACCACUCCACCAAAAAAAAAACCCAAAAAAACAAAACAAAAGAAAACGAAAGGUUGUCAGCCUCAAAGAGCAAAGGUAGGUAAAUCCACACAGAUGAGGAAAAACCAGCCUAAAAAUGCAGAAAAUUCCAAAUUCCAGGAUGCCUCUUCUCUUCCAAAUGACUGCAACAGCUCUCCAGCAAGGGCACAGAACUGAGUGUAGAAUGAGCUGGAUGAAUUGACAGAAGCAGGGUUAAGAAGGUGGGUAAUAACAAACUCCACUGAGCUAAAGGAGUAUGUUCUAAUCCAGUUCAAAGAAGCUAAGAAUCCUGAAAAAGGUUACAAGAGCUGCCAAGUAGAAUAACAAGUUUAGAGGGGAACAUAAAUGACCUGAUGAAGCUGAAAAACACAGCAUGAGAACUUUGUGAAACAGACACAAGUAUCAGUAGUCGAACUGAUCAAACAGAAGAAAGGAUAUCAGAGUUUGAAGACCUCUGAAAUAAGGCAUGUGGACAAGAUUAGAGCAAAAAGAAUGAAAAGGGGUGAACAAAACCUCUGAGAAAUAUGGGACUAUAUAAAAAGACCAAACCUAUGAUUGAUUGGAGUACCUAAAAAUGACGGGGACAGUGAAACCAAGUUGGAAAAUACACUUCAGGAUGUUAUCUAGGAGAACUUCCCCAAUCUAGCAAGACAAGCCAACAUUCAAAUUCAGGAAAUAUGGAGAACACCACUAAGACACUCCUCGAGAACAGCAACCUCAAGACACAUAAUUGUCAGAUUUUUCAAGGUUGAAACGAAGGAAAAAAUGUUAAGGGCAGUCAGAGAGAAAGGUCAGGUCACCUACAAAGGGAAGCCCAUUAGACUAAUAGCAGAUCUCUCAGCAGAAACGCCACAAGCAAGAAGAAAGUGGGGACCAAUAUUCAACAUUCUUAAAGAAAAACAUUUUCAACCCGGAAAUUUAUAUCUAGCCAAACUAAGCAUCGUAAACGAAGGAGAAAUAAAAUCCUCUCCAGACAAACAAAUCCUAAGGGAUUUCAACACCACCAGGCCUGCCUUGCAAAAGCUCCUGGAGGAAGCACUAAAUAUGGCAAGGAAAAGCUGGUUCAAGCCACUGCAAAAACACACCCAAAUAUAACAAUGACACUAUGAAGAAACCGCAUCAACUAACAUGCAAAAUGACGAGCUAGCAUCAUGAUGAAAGGAUGAAAUUCACACAUAACACUGUUAGUCUUCAAUGUAAAUGGGCUAAAGCCCCAAUUAAAAGACAUAGACUGGCAGAUUGGAUAAAGUGUCAAGACGCAUCAGUGUGCUGUAUUCAGGAGACCGAUCUUACCUGCAAAGACACACAUAGGCUCAAAAUAAAGGGAUAGAGAAAAAUUUACUGAGCAAAUGGAAGAAAAAAAAAAGCAGGGGUUGCAAUCAUAGUCCCUGAUAAAACAGACUUUAAACCAACAAAAAUAAAAAAUGACAAAGAAGGGCAUUACAUACUGGUAAAGGGAUCAAUUCAACAAGAAGAGCUAAUAUCCUAAAUAUAUAUACACUCAAUACAGGAGCACCCAGAUUUAUAAAACAAGUUCUUAGAGACCUACAGAGACUUAGACUCUCAUACAAUAAUAUUGGGAGAUUUAGACAGUUCGAUGAGACAAAAAACUAACAAGGAUAUUCAGGACUUAAACUCAGCUCUGGAUUAAGUGGACCUAAUAGACACCUACAGAACUUUCCACCCAAAAUCAACAGAGUAUAAAUUCUUCUCAGUGCCAUAUGGCAGUUAUUCUAAAAUUGACCACAUAAUUAAAAGUAAAACAUUCCUCAGCACGUUUCUCAUGACCACAGUGCAAUGAAAUUAGAACACAGGAUUAAGAAACUCACUCAAAACCACACAACUACAUUGAACAACCUGUUUCUGAAUGACUCCUGGGUAAAUAAUGUAAUUAAGGCAGAUAUCAAGAAGUGCUUUGAAACCAAUAAGAACAAAGAGACAACAUACAAGCAUCUCUGGGACACAGCUAAAGCAACAUUAAGAGGGGAAUUUAUAGUACUAAAUGCCCAUACCAGAAAGCUGGAAAUAUCUCAAAUCAACACCCUAACAUCACAAUUACAAGAACUAGAGAAGCAAGAGCAAAAAAAUUUAAAAGCUAUCAGAAGACGAGAAAUAACUAAGAUCAGAGCAGAACUGAAAGAGCUAGAGACACGAAAAACCCUUCAAAAAAAUCCAUUAACACAGGAACUGUUUUUUUGGGAAAAAAAUUGAUAGACCACUAGCUAGACUAAUGAAGAAAAAAAAGAGAAGAAUCAUAUAGACAAAAUACAAAAUGAUAAAGGGGAUGUUACCACUGACCCCACAGAAAUACAAACUGCCAUCAGAGAAUACUAUAAACACCCCCAUGUAAAUAAACUAAAAAAUCUAGAAGAAAUGGAUGAAUUCCUGGACACAUACACCCUUCCAAGACUAAACCAGGAAGAAUUGGAAUCCCUGAAUAGAGCAAUAACAAGUUCUGAAAUUGAGGCAAUAAUUAACAGCCUAACAGCUGAAAAAAGCCCAGGACCAGAUGGAUUAACAGCCGAAUUCUGCCAGAGGUACAAAGAGGUGCUGGUACCAUUUCUUCUUUAAUGAUUCCAAACAACUGGAAAGGAGGGACUUCUCCCUAACUCAUUUUAUGAAGCCAGCAUCAUCCUAAUACCAAAACCUGACAGAGACACAAGAAGAAAAGAAAACUUCAGGCCAAUAUCCCUGAUAAGCAUCAAUGUGAAAAAUCCUCAAACCAAAUCCAGCAGCAUAUCAAACAGCUUAUCCAACACAACCAAGUCGGCUUCAUCCCUGGGAUGCAAACCUGGUUCAACAUAUGCAAAUCAAUAAAUGCAAUCCAUCACAUAACCAGAACCAAUGACAAAAACCACAUGAUUAUCUCAAUAGAUGUAGAAAAGGCCUAUGAUAAAAUUCAACAUCCCUUCGUGUUAAAAGCUCUCAAUAAACUAGGUAUUGAUGGAACAUAUUUCAAAAUAAUAAGAGCUAUUUAUGACAAAUCCAUAGCCAAUAACAAAAGGAACAGGCAAAAUCUGUUAGCAUUCCCUUUGAAAACCGGUGCAAGAGGAUGCCUUCUCUCACCACUCCUGUAUAACAUAGCAUUGGAAGUUCUGGACAGGGCAGUCAAGCAAGAGAAGAAAUAAAGGGUAUUCAAAUAGGAAGAGAGGAAGUCAAAUUGUCUCUGUUUGGAGAUGACAUGAUUCUAUAUUUAGAAAACCUUGUCAUCUCAGCCCAAAAACUCUAAGCUGAUAAGCAACUUCAGCAAAGUCUCAGGAUAUGAAAUCAAUGUGCAAACAUCACAAGCAUUCCUAUACACCAACAAUCGACAAACGAGAGCCAAAUCAUGAAUGGACUCCCACUCACAAUUGAUACAAAGAGAAUAAAACACCUAGGAAUACAGUUAACAAGGACACAAUGGACCUCUUCAAGGAGUGCUAUAAACCACUGCUCGAGGAAAUAAGAGAAGACACAGACAAAUGGAAAAGCAUUCCAUCCUCAUGAAUAGGAAUAAUCAACAUCUUGAAAGUGGUCAUACUGCCCAAAGUAAUUUAUAGAUUCAGUGCUAUUCUCGUCAAACUGCCACUUACAUUCUUCACAGAAUUAGAAAAAAAUACUUCAAAUUUCAUAUGGAACAAAAAAGAGCCCAUAUCACCAAGACAAUUCUAAGCAAAAAGAACAAAGCUGGAGGCAUCAUACUACCUGACUUCAAACUAUACUACAAGGCUACAGUAACAAAAACAGCAUGGUACUGGUACCAAAACAGACAUAUAUACCAAUGGAGAAGAACAAAGACCUCAAAAAUAAUACCUCACAUCUACACCAUCUAAUCUUUGACAAACCUGACAAAAACAAGCAAUUGGGAAAGGAUUCCCUGUUUAAUAAAUGAUGCUGGGAAAACUGGCUAGCCAUGUGCAGAAAACUGAAACUGGAUCCCUUCCUUACGCUUUAUAGAAAAAUUAAGAUAGAUUAAAGACUUAAAUUUAAAAUCCCAAACCAUAAAAACCCUAGAAUAAAACCUCGGCAAUACCAUUUAGGACAUAGGCAUGGGCAAAGACCUCGUGACAAAACACCAAAAGCAGUUGCAGCAAAAGCCAAAAGAGACAAACAGUGUCUAAUGAAAUUAAAGAGCUCUGCACAGCAAAAGAAACUGUCAUCAGAGUGAACAGGCAACCUACAGAAUGGGAGAAAAUCCGGUCUGCCAUUAGCGGCCAUUUGCACUGGUUCCAUGUCUUUGCUAUUUUAAAUAGUGCUGCAGUAAACAUACGUGUGCAUGUGUCUUUCUAGCAGAAUGAUUUAUAUUCCUUUGGGUAUAUACCCAGUAAUGGGGUAGCUGGGUUGAAUGAUAUUUCUGAUUCUAGUUCCUUGAGGAAUCGCCACAGUGUCCUCCACAGUGGUUGAACUAAUUUACAUUCCCACCAACAAUGUAAAAACAUUCCUAUUUCUCCAUAACUUCAUCAGCAUGUAUUGUUUCCUGACUUUUUAAUAAUCGCCAUUCUGACUGGUGUGAGAUGAUAUCUCAUUGUGGUUUUGAUUUGCAUUUCUCUGAUGAUCGGUGAUAUUGAGCUUUUUCUAUACAUUUGUUGGCUGCAUAAAUGUCUUCUUUUGAGUGUCUGUUCAUAUCCUUUGCCCAUUUUUUUGAUGGGGUUUUUUUUUUUCUUGUGAAUUUAUUUCAGUUCCUUGUAGAUUCUGGAUAUUAAACCUUUGUCAGAUGGAUAGAUGGCAACAUUUUUCUCCCAUUCUGUAGAGAGGGGCCAACAUGGGCUGAUGCAGCUUCAGACAGUUCGGAAAUUCCCCCCACGUGAGGGGAGGUACACCUGAGACAGGCAUGGGCAUCCUCCUCCUUCCCCUGUUUGGUGGUACCCCGGUGACUGUGGGGAUCAGCCUUUCUGUUCAAAUAACAGCAGAAACUGUCUUGUCAUCUUAUGAGCUUCCAGAAAAGUCCCUUGCCUUUUGUCCAAAAAGAGAGGUUUCCUGAGUCCUUUUGGGCUCUGACCUUAAACCUUGGGGAGUGGAGAGUCUACUUGGAAUGAAGGACCCUCCCUGGGAUUCUGAGCAGUUAAGAAGCCACUGAGCUCAGAGCAGCGCAGCUCAGGGUGGGGCCAGUGCUUUCCACAAAGCCCCCCCAAACUCCAGAUGUUGAAACUCCGCGGCCUGUGGGACAGAACUGAGACUACGGGAGGCCUUUAAGUGGUGAUGAUUAAGUCGUGAGGGCUCCUCCCUGGUGAAGGCUCCAGCCCAGCGUUCAGCUCUCACGCUUCACCUCUAACCUGUGAGGCUGCAGUGCUCAUUCCCUCUAGGGACCAUGCCUGUCCCACGUGCACCUCCCCUCACGCGGGGCAGUUUCUGAAAUGUCUGAAGCUGCAUCAGCUCACGCUGGCCCUCUGUGGUUGAUACAGACAGAGGAGUCCUCCCCGGGCAGAUGCUGGGGGGAGGACUCAUGGGCAAGGAUUUAUUCGGGCAGGGACACUGGCCAGGGUCAUCGAUGUCCCCAGACCCCACAGCCCACUGGCAGCUGGCCACAGAUUGACAGCUGGUUCAGUGGCCUCUUUGUGCAAUGUGGCAUUUGUGGGCUGCGGUCAGUGCUUCUGGCUGGAGCCAGAAGGGAUGGAGGAGGAAGCAGGGGGUGGCCAGGCUGGAUGGGCUCCAGAGUGGAACUUACACCAACGACCAUUGGCCAUUGAGACAGGACACUGGGUUUCACAUUCCUGAGCUGGUCAGUUGAUCAUUAGUCUUGAGUGCCCAGGGUAGUGAUGGGGGCUGUGGUCUCCCAGGCUCUUCUGCGGACGUGUGUGUGAAGGGGCUCUGGCAGCCGGAGUCAUCUUUGAAGGCAUUUGCGGGUAGGAGCUGCUGGGAGCUAAGUGUGCAGUGGCUCUGGACUGGUCAGGAGGACCUGAGGAAAUUGGGCAGAUGAGCAGACAGCAUCGGGGCCUCUGUGGGGUGCCAAGUCUGCUCAGACAGCCAGAGCUGUCAGCUCACAGGCUGCAGCGGCCACAGACGCCACGGUGCACACAGACACCAUCAAACCAGCUGUUGAUCCGUGGCCCAUUGCCAGUAGGGUCUGCAUGUUGAUGUCCCUGGUACUGAGGGUCAUACUGCGUGCAGCGAUGUGCUCUUUGAAGACAGUGGCCCAGUUCAUUCCGUGACAGUCUACCAGGGUGGUUGUGUUGCUUCUAAUUUACUGAUGAGAAAAGUGAGACUCGGCAAAGUUCAUGAGCCCCAAAUUACCCAAAUUGUUGGCACGCGUGGGAGUGUGCAUUUGAACCAAAACUAUGUGACCCCAAAGCCCAUGAAUGUGGACUUAGGGAAAACACAGCUCAGCUAUGAAGUGUUUAAUUGCGAACUGGGGUCCAGAGAAUGGUGGGAAGCAGGGGCUGAGGACAGCCUUCUAGGCCCCAGUCCCAGGUUGGCCGUGGGGAAAUGCCCAGACGUCUUCAGUUGAAAUGCCAUCUUGAUUACAUCUCUGGCCCAGGCUUGGCCCAGGACUUCCCAUUCAUUCUUCAGCUGCAUGAGAGUGAAUUGUUUUCCCAGCACAGCCGAGAGCUAUAGGGCUGUAAACCAGAGGCCUUGAGUCCUGGCUGGCAUCUGUCUGGCCUCCGCUGGCUGUGGGGCCUUGGGUGAGGCUUCCCCUUUUCCGAGCUUCAGUUUUCCAGCUGUUCUCCCAGGUUCCUUCUGGCUCCGAUGUUUGCCAGUUGUGAGCUGGGGGCUCUCAGAGCUUCCUGUCUCCUGCUUCUUCCCACACCACCUUGCUGGGUCCCAGCUGUCUGUCAUGGAAAGAAUAAGGGAAAGACCCGUGGCAUGGUUUCCCCUUGGGGGACACUGGGCAUCUUUUUUCUUUCUGUUUCUUUUUGUAAGUAGACCCUACUCAUUUAUUCAAAAUUAGCCGAUAUCAGUAAUACUGUUAAUUUAGAGAAUAUAGUUACAUAUACACAUGGUCUUUUCAUUUAUACAUUUAAAAAUAUUUAUAGUAUCUAAGGUAUUACAUCAGGCAUAGCAGAAAACUUGUUUGGAAAAAAUGUGUUACUUGUCAAGUUCAGCAGCACCAAGUUGAGGAGGUAAAAUACGUCAUAACAUAGAAUGUAAGUCAGCAGUAAAGGUCUAUGACUAUUUGGAAGAGAAUGAAGAGAAGGGAUCCUAGGAGGGGUUGCCAUGAUCUCUUUCUAACGGUCAUCCCUCCUCCUCAUUUGUCAAUGGACACAAGUUAAUGCCCAGUCACAAGAACAGCUCCCAAAGCUGGGUUGAUUAAUGCCUGUGUAUGUGUAUAUGUAUAUUUUAUAUAUAUACAUAAUUUUAACUUUUCGAUUCUGGUGGUAUGUGUGCAGGUUUGUUCCUGGGAAUAGUACACGAUGCUGAGGUUUGGGGUAUGAUUGAUUCUGUGAUCCAGGUACUGAGCAUAGUACCCAAAAGUUAGUUUUCCAGUUCUUGCUCCCCUAAUUCUCUCCCUGCUCAAUCAGUCCCCAGUGUUUAUUGUUGCCAUCUUUACACCCAUGGGCACCCAGUGUUUGGCUCCCAUUUAUAAGAAAGAACAUGCACUAAUUCACUUGGGACAACGGCCUCCAGCUGCAUCCCUGUUGCUACAAAGGACGUCAUUUUGCUUUUUUGUGGCUGUGUAGUAUUCCACGGCGUAUAUGUAUCGCAUUUUCUUUAUUCAAUCAUCCGUUGGUCACCUGGGUGGAUUCCACGUCUUUGCUGUUGUGAGCAGUGCUGGGAUGAUCACGUGAGUAUGUGUGUCUUUUUGGUAGAAUGACUUGUUUUCUUUUGGCUGUACACUCAGUAAUGGGAUUGCUGAGUCGAAUGGUAAUUCUGUUUCAUGCUGUUUGAGAAAUCUCCAAACUGCUCUUCACAGGGACUGAACCAAUGUACAUUCCCACCAGCAGCCUACAAGCACUCCCUUUCUCCACAGCCUCACCAGCAUUUUUUGUUUUUUGACUUUUUAAUGAUAGCCAUUCUGACUGGUGUGAGAUGGUAUCUCACUGUGGUUUUAAUUUAUUAAUUCUUGUAUUUUGAUUCUUGGAGAAAAUAAACAGGCACAGAGAUUUAGGUGGAUGGAGCUUUAAUAUUAAUAAAACAGGGAUUCUCCACCCCCCACUAAGCCAACCCAAACUGACAAACACUAGCUGUUAAACAAAACCAGCAGGACGAUUUCUCCAGCGGAGGCUCAUUUUUGCUUCCCCCUCCUAGACUCAUGUAAGAGACAAUGCAGAGGGCUCCGUGUGCUCCAGGAAGUGGCGGAGCCAGGUGGCAUUAGAUGAAUGGCAUCACUUCUGAGUGGGCAAGUGGCUUGCCGUGGGCUCCUGUGGCUGUAUCGAGUGUGAUUUCAAAAGGGAAAAAACCAACCAUUGUGUCUGUGGUCCCAGGAAGCAGGGCCGAGUGCCUGCCAAUGUUUGAUUUGAUUCUGCACAUAUGGUUCAGGUCACCUUGCUCAAACAAGGGCAGCGAGAGACACAUUUCCAAAGAAAAAGAGGAAUGUGUCUGGGGUGAGGACAGAACGACAGACGGGAGGGUAUGGAUGGAGUCAGACGUGGCAGAAAGAAACCACUGGAAGGCCACCUUGCUUAGGCAUUUCCUACAUGUUCUUUGGGUCCUAAUAUUUCACAGAAGUGCCGAAGAAGAGACCAAAGGUGAUGGGCUGGGGUGGGUCUGGGGAGAGUUUGCACUGGGCCCCAGGCACUUCCUGACCAGAGCAUUCACUGUAGACAGUUUACACAGGACACAUUCCUGCUUAUGAUUCUGUGUCCAUUACAAUAGAUAAGCUAUGUUGGCAUUUAUAUGUGCUGGGUUCGAUUGAAGGUGUUUUCAGUUAAAUACCUUAGAGCACAACUGAGCUCACUGAAUCCUCUCACUUUACAGCUGAGGAACAGGGGCAAAAUGAGGCUCAGCCCAGUCACUGAGGGGUCUCCAGGGAGUGGAAAACCCAGGCCUCGCCAACCCUAGUCCAGGCUUUUCUCUACCAAACCAAUUAUUUGACUGAAACAUGGUCAGUUCCCUUGAAGUGGGAGGCCAAGCAGGAUGACCUGCAAGGGUGGCAUGAGUGGGUGCUGAGCCUGGUCCCCUUGGGCCUUGGGGCUUAGCCAGGUUACGUGGUCCAAGGAUGGGUCUCUCAAGACUGACUCUUCCUGACUACAGAGUUUUGUCUUUUUCCUAAACUUCCCCUAAAUCGAACUCUGCUUGAUGUCUCUGUUUUUGAACUUUUAGCCUCUAUUUGUCCCCAACCCUUGAAAUAGCUGCUCUGCCUUUUCCACGCGGUCCUGAAGCUGGCAUUGUUAUCAUCAGUGCCUUCACACAGCACAUUACAGUUUGCAAAUGACUCUUACAGGAUGGCCCCAUCUGACGUUCAAAGCAGCUCCGUGAGAAAGACGAUUAUUUCCAUAAUGAAACGGCAUGGAAGCUGAAGCAUCCUGUUCAACUCAACCCUGCCCGUAUGUAGCAGAGGUGGGACGUGCAUUUGAAAUGUCUGACCCUGAGUUCCAUAUUCGUUCCAGCAGUCAGAGGCCUCACUGCAGUGGAAAUGGAGCUUCUCUUGGUUCAUUAUUCAGAAAAUAUCUAUUGAGCAUCUGCCCCGUGCUGGGAGCUGCUCCAGGCCUUGGGGAUACAGCAGAGAACCAGACAGACUCCCUGACUUCCAGGACCUAAGCAUUUGGGGGUUGGUGUUCAAAACUCCCAAGAGGAUGGCACGUUAUGUUACAGGCUGAGUAAUUCUGGAUGGUUAAAUCAUCUGUGAGUUCCAGCAUAACACUGUCCCCAAGAACGUUCUCCAGUAAGAGCACGAGUCUGCAUGUAAACUCAUUUCCAGGGUCUGAGGAGCGCUGUCAAAACGUACACACUGCUCAGGUCAGGAACACAGCGGUUGUGCUUGUUAGACAGGGAGAUGGCAUCCUGAUUGAGGCCAGUGAAAUAAAACACAGGUUUAAUUAUAGGAAUCCUGGAAUGUAUGACAGAACGCAAGUGUGGGAAUGUGGCUGGGCUUCAGCUAGAUGAGUCAAAACUGGAACCAGAGAUGGAAACCCCACUGGCUCUCUUUCUGUCUGUGUGUCUUCUCCUAUUUUAAUGUUGGCUCUAUUCUUCAGUCUCACUGAAGCCAGUUUUCUCCGUGUGGCAGGACGCUGCACUGAAGGUUGCACGUGUUACCUCUUGUGGCUUCAGUCUCCCAAACAACGGGACAACGCCUGGGGCAGGGCUGUUGACCCACUGUGGGCCUGUGCACACGUGCACACACCAUAGCUGGGGGGUGGUUAGUGGUACAGGGAUGGUUGCGGGGGAGGCCACUGUGAGGAACACACGUCUGGAUAGCCGUCUUGUAAGGCCAUCCAGGGUUCUCCACCUUGGCUACUGGAUGACCUCAGAAUCACAGAGAAGAAUUUGUCGAAGAGGCAUUCUAAAACCUCCAUUGGCCAGAGGUCCCAGGGACGGCCCAUCUCCCUGACCAGGGCUCGGGCAGAUGGCUGGUGGGCAACGGGGCAGUGGCUGUGGAUGAAAAGAUGGGGCAUUAUCCAAGGCAGUGCCCUUGUGCAGAGCCAGGCUUCUCCAGGAAGACAACCGGAGUCUAUGUGGUGUGAAUUGCCUUCUGUCUCCUGGAAUCCAGGAGAGGGAUGUUCUAGGGGGUUCCCAGCACAGAGCUUUCUCCCUUGGCUGUGUUUGUGUGUUUACUGGGAUGGCACGGAGAGUUGCUUCCUUGCCAUGGAGAGGCUGCCAACAUUGACGUUCUUCGUUUGUGAUGUUUUUGGGACUGUUGUGCAAAAAUAAAAUGCCAUUUUUUUCCAAUGUUUCUAAGAUGUACACAUUAAAAAAAACACAACUUCUCCAAGAUUGGAAUACACUGCAGAGUUGACGGCACGUCACAGCUCUCCUGCCAAGGGUGUCUGUUGUCCUCAGUACAUAGAACAGUGGUCUUAUAUCAACGGUGUCUUAAAUUCAAUGAAGUGUGAUCAUUGUAGAGGCAAAUUCCCUUGAAAACAGUGACGGCAAGUCAUGGCAGAAUGCGCCAGCCUGCCAACCUUAGAUCAUGAGAUUCCGGAAACAUGAUUACGUGUUGAGUUCAUUUGAGCAGGAAGCUCGAGGUUAGCCACCUGGGAAACACGGACUCCAAAGGAACGGGCUCAGCGCUCCACAAGCUGGGAGUUAGGGCUUCACUUACAUAAGCUUAGGGGUUCCAGCAUCUUCCAUGCAAGGUCUGCGCAUAUGUUGUAGGGAUUUGAUCGGAGGCAGCUUGCUACAUUCUAAGAAUAUUGCUUUAACAUUCCACGAGCAGCAUUGACCAUCUGAGGGGCUCCUAGCUCUGGUGCCACAAAGUCUUUCCAAAUCACUUACAGGAAAAAGCAGGAGCCACAGCUGCGUGCUGUGUGGCUCAGGCCACAAAGCCACGUUACUGUCAGGGAUCAGAACAAUCGAAAGUUCCAGCACAUUUAGGUUUUAAUUAUUUAAUUUCACAAACCUUAUGGAUAAACAAAGGAACGUCUCAUCUUCUUGGCAGCAAGGGUGGGUUUUAUGGCUGAGCCAAAUGGGCUUCUGAGUCGAAGGAGAAUCCGCCGGAAGUGGGGAACGCACACUAGUCUCUGGAAACCGAACGUCGGGAAAUGAAUGAGCCCUGAAGAGCAGAUGGGCUACGUGUGAAGAGCAGUUCCUCUCUGUUGUUUUACUAAAUGCUGGAAUCAGCUUUAAAUCAGUUUUAAAAAGCCGCUGUGCCUUUCCAUUUUAAAGCGGCUCCUAAAGGAAAGGCCGCCUCCGUUGUGUGGGAUGUGCUGAGGAACUUCUGGCUAACAAUAGACGGUGCAUUACUUGACCCUCAGAGUGACUUGGGUGCAAAGUGACUAAAAAUGUUAAUUCAAAUUGGCUUAAAUGGGGAAAAAACUGUUAUCUCACAUGAAAAGAAGCCAGUAGUCCAGAUUCCAGAAGUCCUCAUUAAACUAUUGACUUUCCUCUUGCCUUUCCCAGUUAGUCCUAAUUAAACUAUCUUAAUUUUUCUUAAGGGAAAACAAAAGAAAAGCUACUCUGUCUUUUGUCUGGAAGGAGGCGAUUACCUGAAUCUCUGCCCUGGGGCUUCACCAUGCGGCCAAGGGGUCUUUCUGACCUGCACUUGAGUGACGGGCCCUUGGCCCCAGGCAGACCUCCCUGGGCUGUAGCCCUCACUGUCGGUGAUGGCAACCACCAGAGAAAGAGAAGGAAUUCUUGUUCCCGGUUGAUACGGCUUGGAUCUCUGUCCCCACCCAAAUCUCCUGUCACAUUGUCGUCCCCAGUGCUGAGGUGGGCCUGGUGGGAGGUGACUGGAUCACGUGGGAGGAUUUCCCUCUCUGCACUGCUCUCCUACGGUGAGAUCUGGUUGUUUAAAGUGUGUGGCACCCCGCCACUCCCCACUGCUCCGGCCGUGUAAGGCAUGCUUGCUUCCCCUUUGCCUUGUAACAUGAUUGAAAGUUUCCUGAGGCCUCCCAGAAGCCUCCUGUGCAGCCUGCAGAACCACGAGCCAAUUAAACCUCUUUAUCAACUA